GCCGCCAUAGCUCAGCUCGGUAGAGCGUCUGCCUGUUAAGCAGUUGGUCAACGGUUCGAUUCCGUUUGGCGGCGCCA
rnacentral:tRNA from 1 species